AAUCAACGCUGGCGGCGUGCCUAACACAUGCAAGUCGAACGCGAAAGGGGCUUCGGUCCUGAGUAGAGUGGCGUCCGGGUGAGUAACGCGUGGGUAAUCUACCCUUGGGUGGGAAUAACCAGUCGAAGAUUGGCUAAUACCGCAUAAUGCAGCGGCUCGACAUCGAGACAGUUGUUAAAGCAGCAAUGCGCCAGAGGAGGAGCCUGCGUCUGAUUAGCUUGUUGGCGGGGUAACGG
rnacentral:rRNA from 1 species